rnacentral:pre_miRNA from 1 species
CAUAUACUCCUUCCGUCCGGAAAUACUUGUCAUUGAAAUGGAUGUAUCUAUAUGUAUUUUAGUUCUAGAUACAUCCAUUUUGAUGACAAGUAUUUCCGAACGGAGGGAGUACAUC